rnacentral:rRNA from 1 species
GCUCUGCCGUUAAACUAGAUAGCCCCACAACCAACUAUCCGCCAAAGAACUACGAGCGAAAAGCUUAAAACUUAAAGGACUUGACGGUGUCCCAUAUCAGCCUAGAGGAGCCUGUCCUAUAAUCGAUGAUCCACGCUCUACCUCACCUACCAUUGCACAACCCCAGCCUAUAUACCGCCGUCUCCAGCCUACCUAAUGAUAGACGCCCAGUCAGGCAAAAUUCAGCCACAACGCUAGCACGUCAGGUCAAGGUGUAGCUAAUGGGUAGGAAGAGAUGGGCUACAUUUUCUAACACUAGAACACCACUGAAGGCACAAUGAAAACCAAGCCUAAAGGCGGAUUUAGCAGUAAGGUCGGACCAGAGAUGUCCAACUGAAGAAUGCCCUGGGACGCGU